rnacentral:rRNA from 1 species
UAGUCCACGCCGUAAACGAUGAUAACUAGCUGUUCGGGUUCACAGAACUUGAGUGGCGCAGCUAACGCAUUAAGUUAUCCGCCUGGGGAGUACGGUCGCAAGGUUAAAACUCAAAGGAAUUGACGGGGACCCGCACAAGCGGUGGAGCAUGUUCUUUAAUUCGAAGCAACGCGAAGAACCUUACCUACACUUGACAUACUCGUCGGGAAUUUCAGAGAUGAUUUUCUUCGGUUCGGCCGGACGAGAUACAGGUGCUGCACGGCUGUCGUCAGCUCGUGUCGUGAGAUGUUUGGUUAAGUCCAGCAACGAGCGCAACCCCUAUCGUAUGUUGCCAGCAUUCAGUUGGGCACUCAUGCGAGACUGCCGGUGUUAAGCCGGAGGAAGGUGGGGACGACGUCAAGUCAUCAUGGCCCUUACGUGUAGGGCUAGAAACGUGCUACAAUGGCUAUUACAGUGGGCAGCAAGGUCGCGAGGCCAAGCUAAAUCCCUAAAAAGUAGUCUCAGUUCGGAUUGUA